AAGGGCACCACAAGAACGCGUGGAGCAUGUGGCUUAAUUUGACUCAACGCGGGAAAUCUUACCAGGUCCGGANAUAUUGAGGAUUGACAGGCGAUAUAUAUCAUAUUCAUUAUGAUAUAAUAAAAAUGAUAGUCCUUUCAUGAUUAUAUGAUAGGUGGUGCAUGGCCGUUCUUAGUUCGUGGAGUGAUCUGUCUGCUUAAUUGCGUUUCAGAUUAAUAAUAAUAUAUAAAUAUAUAAUUUAAUAUUAUUUUAUACUGUUCUGCCAAUUAUUUAAUUGGAUUUUAAAGUGAACGUAUAUAUUUAUUAAUUUAUAUUAUUAUAUAUUAAUAAUGAAUGCAACGAACGUGACCGUAACCUUUUAUUGCUAUAAUAAUAUAAUAUAGCAUAAAAUUAAAGGAACCGCUGUCAUUUUAUAUGUUUUAAAAUAGAGUAAGAUUACGGCAAUAACAGGUCUGUGAUGCCCUCAGAUGUUCUGGGCUGCACACGUGCUACAAUAAUUACAUUAAUAAGUAUAUAUAUAUAUUGUAGCAUAUUGUGCUAAUAAUAAAACCUAUUUCGAAAGUAAAUGGGUAAUCAUUUAAAAAUCGUGAUUAUAAAUAAUAAUAUAUAUAUAUUAUUAAUUAAUUUAAGGUGGGGAUAGUGUAUUGUUAAUUAUUACACUUGGCCUUAACUAGGAAUGCCUUGUACUCUUCUUUGGUUUAACAUACCAAGAGGAAUACGUCCCUGCCCUUUGUACACACCGCCCGUCGCUCUUACCGAUGAAUUAUAUUAUAAAUUUAAGGGACUUAUGUCACUUUGUUGACAAAGAAACUUUAAUACAUAAUGUGAUUUAAAGGAAAGAGAAGUCGUAACAAGGCAUCGUAGGUGAACCU
rnacentral:rRNA from 1 species